rnacentral:rRNA from 1 species
UGGGGAAUAUUGGUCAAUGGGCGAAAGCCUGAACCAGCAAUGCCGCGUGGGUGAUGAAGGCCUUCGGGUUGUAAAGCCCUGUCAGUGGGAAAGAAAAAACCGGUUAAUACCCGGUCUUGACGGUACCCGCAAAGGAAGCACCGGCUAACUCUGUGCCAGCAGCCGCGGUAAUACAGAGGGUGCAAGCGUUGUUCGGAAUUACUGGGCGUAAAGCGCGUGUAGGCGGCUUAUUAAGUCGGACGUGAAAUCCCUUGGCUCAACCAAGGAACUGCGUCCGAUACUGCUAAGCUUGAGUGUCGGAGGGGGUGGCGGAAUUCCCGGUGUAGAGGUGAAAUUCGUAGAUAUCGGGAGACACCUGUGGCGAAGGCGGCCACCUGGAAGACAACUGACGCUGAGACGCGAAAGCGUGGGGAGCAAACAGGAUUAGAUACCCUGGUAGUCCACGCCGUAACGAUGAGUGCUAGGUGUGCGGGUAUGACCCUGCAGUGCCAAAGCUAACGCGUUAAGCA